rnacentral:rRNA from 1 species
GUGUCAGCCGCCGCGGUAAUACGUAGGUGGCAAGCGUUAUCCGGAAUUAUUGGGCGUAAAGCGCACGCAGGUGGCUUCUUAAGUCUGACGUGAAAGCUCCUGGCUUAACCGGGAGAGGUCGUUGGGUACUGGGAGGCUUGAGGCAAGGAGAGGGGCGUAGAAUUCCCGGUGUAGUGGUGGAAUGCGUAGAUAUCGGGAGGAAUACCAGAGGCGCAAGCGGCGCCCUGGCCUUGGCCUGACGCUCAGGUGCGAAAGCGUGGGGAGCGAACGGGAUUAGAAACCCCCGUAGUCC